rnacentral:rRNA from 1 species
UUGGGGGAAUUUUCCGCAAUGGGCGAAAGCCUGACGGAGCAAUACCGCGUGAGGGAGGAAGGCUCUUGGGUUGUAAACCUCUUUUCUCAGGGAAGAAUGAUGACGGUACCUGAGGAAUAAGCAUCGGCUAACUCCGUGCCAGCAGCCGCGGUAAUACGGAGGAUGCAAGCGUUAUCCGGAAUGAUUGGGCGUAAAGCGUCCGCAGGUGGCAAUGUAAGUCUGCUGUCAAAGCGUCUGGCUCAACCAGAUAAAGGCAGUGGAAACUACAUAGCUAGAGUAAGGUAGGGGUAGAGGGAAUUCCUGGUGUAGCGGUGAAAUGCGUAGAGAUCAGGAAGAACACCGGUGGCGAAAGCGCUCUGCUGGACCUUAACUGACACUGAGGGACGAAAGCUAGGGGAGCGAAUGGGAUUAGAUACCCCAGUAGUCAA